UACGUAGGGGGCAAGCGUUGUCCGGAUUUAUUGGGCGUAAAGAGCUCGUAGGCGGCUUGUCACGUCGGGUGUGAAAGCCCGGGGCUUAACCCCGGGUCUGCAUUCGAUACGGGCAGGCUAGAGUGUGGUAGGGGGAGAUCGGAAUUCCUGGUGUAGCGGUGAAAUGCGCAGAUAUCAGGAGGAACACCUGUGGCGAAGGCGGCCCCCUGGUUGGAUACUGACGCUGAUACGCGAAAGCGUGGGGAGCGAUCCGG
rnacentral:rRNA from 1 species